CUUUUAUGGAGAGUUUGAUCCUGGCUCAGGAUGAACGCUGGCGGCGUGCCUAAUACAUGCAAGUCGAGCGAAUGGAC
rnacentral:rRNA from 1 species